UGAAUUUGUGUUAAAGCUGUCCAGUCUGUGGCCAGUGGCUGCAGCCACCCCUGGACACUGAGAGUGAACUUGCUGGCUCCAAGGAGUUUCCAACUCCUACUGAAGAACUAAAAAUAUGCAUGGAGCAGCUUCUUGAAAGAAUAAGAAGAAAUCGCUGACCUUAGAGUGGAAAGAAGCAAUACCAGGCUGCUGCUGGAGCACCUGGAGUGCCUGGUUUCCU
rnacentral:lncRNA from 1 species